rnacentral:rRNA from 1 species
UACGGGGGGGGCAAGCGUUGUUCGGAAUUACGGGGCGUAAAGGGCGCGUAGGCGGUUCGCUAAGUUGAAUGUGAAAACUCUGGGCUUAACCCAGAGCCUGCAUUCAAUACUGGCGGGCUAGAGUUCUGGAGGGGAUAGCGGAAUUCCUGGUGUAGCGGUGAAAUGCGUAGAUAUCAGGAGGAACACCGGUGGCGAAGGCGGCUAUCUGGACAGAGUCUGACGCUGAGGCGCGAAAGCUAGGGGAGCAAACAGG